rnacentral:lncRNA from 1 species
UUUCUGUGCCAUCUGCUGGGAUGAGUAGACCAAGAUCGGUUAAAUUCAAGGCAAGUUCUUCAAGUGUUGAGGGUCCUCCUUUUUAAGAUUGAACAUUUUAAAUGAUGAUUUCAAAAGACAAGCAUAUGUCUGAAUUCCAGUGAUGUUUGCCAUUUUUUUUCUGAGAUGAGGCAGAUGACUGGAGUCUAGUUACCUCCCUAUUGCAGUAACUAAUUGUUCGGUUUUAUUUUAAGGCCUCCUUCACAUGAACUUUGAGAGCAUGAUGACCAUGGGUUGUGUUUGUAAGUAGUUUUUCGAAUUCAAAGUUAGGUUUCAAAUCCGUAUUGUCUGAAGUGAUUUAAGUAUUUAUAUCUUAACUGGACGACAGAUUUGUCAUAUGGCAUUCUAGUCACCAAAGUAUGAUCGGACCAUAUGACCGUACGGUGCUUGUUUUUGAACUGUGUUGGCUACUCCGUGUUUACAAUGCCUGUUAUUUUUCUAGGUCAUCCCCCUUUUUUUUUGUCGUGGUAAUGGAGCACCGUAAUGUUCAGGUAGUGUCGGCACAAUGAGCUCUCACCAAAGACCUGGAACUCCCAAGGGCUGUUAUUUGUCCAAGACUGAGUGGCUAAAGUCCUUUGGUGGUAUUAGGUUGCACGCAUGUAGUACUCAAACGGGUGGCGCACCUGAUGUGGUGAAUUCACAGGACUACAGUGAAUUCUUUCAAGUUCUGCUCCCUUGA